UACGUAGGGGGCAAGCGUUGUCCGGAAUCAUUGGGCGUAAAGCGCGUGUAGGCGGUCCGAUAAGUCGGAUGUGAAAGUCAAGGGCUCAACCCUUGAAUGCCGACCGAUACUGUCGGGCUAGAGUCCGGAAGAGGUGAGUGGAAUUCCUGGUGUAGCGGUGAAAUGCGCAGAUAUCAGGAGGAACACCAAUGGCGAAGGCAGCUCACUGGGACGGUACUGACGCUGAGACGCGAAAGCGUGGGGAGCAAACAGG
rnacentral:rRNA from 1 species